CCAAGUCUCGAAACUAUUUCUAAUACACUUCAUAACUUAAUCCAAAACAUAAUUUAAUACAUAUCAUUAAUUAAGUCUUAAUACAACAUAAGGAUAACGUCCUAACAUAGAAGAACAAAGCUAUUUUGUAGCCUUGUCUUCGCCCUUGUCCUUUCGUGAAGUCCCAUCUUGCUUUGACCUAACUGAAGGGUUUAAGGGAAGCAAGAGUGAGCAAAAAAUUUUCUCAGCAAGUAAUAUAAAAAUAAAUAUGAACAUGUAUAUAUAAGGUUCAUAAUCUCAAGGGGUAAAACAAUAUUUAGUAGCACAGGAAAUAAGAAUUUUGUGAACAAAGUAAUCAUCAAUGGUUCUAAAUCUAUCUUUUGAAGUCAAUAAAGAGCCACAAUGGACAAAAAAGUUAUUAAAGAAUUCAAAGGUUUCAACAAUUUCAAGUGAAUGAAUAGAUAUCACCGAGUGUCACUGUGGACCAAGAAUUAUUAGACAAAUCCAAAGAUUUCAACAAUUCCAAGUUAAUGAAUAUUUAACACUGAGUAGUCGCUAUGGACCAUGAAAUUCUACAAGAAUUAACAAAAAAUAUUUCUGGUAACCCAAUUUUUACUAGAAUCACCGGGAAAACUCUUGGCAACUCAAACAAGUAGAAUAGGUGAUCAACCUAAAGUACCUGGUGUUAUGCAUAACAUUCUCAUGCUGUUCGCGCGAAUUUCGGUUCCCCGGCGUUGUAUAGUUUCCCCUUCUAUGAGAGAUGUUCAUCUCAGCAGAAUAUAAAAGUACGCACCAAAUCAAUUAGUUUGGAUCACUUUCUAAUUCAUAGAUAUUGCUCUAGCCGAAUCAAAUGGCAUAGACGCUCUUCUCAAUACAUUUAGGGAUAAUUAAUACAUUCAACGUUCGCAACAAGAUUUAAAGAAUCAUUUUAAAAGAUGUAAGUAUGAUUUAAAUCAAGCUUCAGAGUAUGAAUAAUAAUUUUCAUAAAUUUAGAUAAUACAAGAAUUAUUCUAUAGAACAAUUUGUUUAUACGAUCAAUAAGUGUACACGUUCAGAUAUUUGAUCAAUAUAUGAUUGAUAUAACAACAAUUAAAAACUUGCACAAUAUCCAAGGUUGUGUAACUUAGGAAACUUGCCUGAGUAGUCAACUAUAUUCGAGCUUGACUUCUUAUCUUUUGAAUAACAUUAUGCUCAUAUAAUUAAUACUCACAAAUCAAUCUAUUUAAUUAAUUAUUCCUUUAUUCAUCACUCUCUUUAUUCUAUUUAUUAGUCUUUACUUUAUUUACUUCAAAUAAAAUAAUCUUCUAUUAUUUUACUUGUUUAAUUAAUGGUUCACAAUUUAAUUUAUUUAUUCAUAUACAAAUAAAAAAUUCUUAAUUAUUUUGUUAUCAUUUAAUUACUCUUUAAGUAAUUUUCCUAAAUUACUAUUCAUUAACCUUCACAAUACAGAAUUACUUCAUUUGCCAAAAAUAAAAUAAUCCUUUUAUUAUUUUAUUUGUUUAAUCAAUUGUCACUUUAUUUUAUUUAUCCAUGCCUCAUUACAUAAAUAAAGUAUUCUUACUUUACUUAGUAUUAUUUAAUCACUCUUUAAAUAAUUUUCUUAAUAAUUAUUCGUAUUUUAUUAGCCCACAAAUAAAAUAAUCUAGUUACUAUUUUAUUUAUUUAAUCUAUAUAAUUAGAGUUAUUAGUUCAGAAUUAAAUAAAAUUUAAUAUUAUUUAAUUAUUUAUUCUUCAUUAAUCCAUAAUUAAUUCACAAAUAUCUUUCAAUUUAAAAUAAUCUUUACAAUUAGCUUACAUUUAAAAUAAUUAUUACUUUAAUUGUUUACAAUUUAUUAAACCAUAUUUAAAAUAAUCCUUACUAUUAUUUUAAUUGAUUGAUCUAGGCCAAAGUAAUUAUUAAUGUACAAUUAAAAUCUUAUUUUAAUUGUUUAUUAGUAACUCACAAUUAAUAUUAAUAUUAAUUAUUAUUUUAUUUUAUAUUAUUAUUAAUCUUAUUUUUAUCUCAUUUUAUCUAUUAAAAAAAAAGCUUUGACCCGUUUAACCCGACCCAACUCAGAAAAUGGCCUAGCGCCUAAGCGCUUGACAUAAGCCUGGGUGAGCGCUCCCCAGCAGAAUGCUAAAAUCUGAUUUUUCAACAUUUUAAUUUUUGACCCUUUUUGAUUCAAUCUUCCAUAACGUGUUCAUUUUAUAUCCAAAUGAGUUCAAACCACUUCCAUUAUCUCAAAAGCUUACAUAUCUUCAAUAUUUGAUAUUUUGAACAAUUUUCUAAAAUAUUUAUUUAAUCAAAUUAUUGAUUUUUCUAAGCUAGGGUUCUCAUUUUAGCAUAUCUUAAUUACCAAUUGUUUUGCUACGAGUUCGUUUCAAUAUGUCCGAAUCCGAUGAUUCCACUUGGGGUAUUUUUCGUAUUUUAUAGAUGUUCAAAAUAAUAUUUUAGAUCAAACAUAGAGCUUACACAUUUCAUGACAUUUAAUACAAAAUCUCAUGCUUAAAGUAUUCUAACUUUAAUUUCAUGCUUGCAUGCUUUUCUCUUGUUCCUUUGGUUCUAAAAUCACAUACAAGGCAUAUAUACCAUAUAAUCUCCUUCCAAUAUCCAUCAUUAUAAUUUUGGAUCUAUCAUGAUCCCACAACACAUAGACUCCCACAACCAAGCAUUCAUCUCUUACCUAGAAUCAUAUAUACUAGCUUAACUUACAAAAUUCUAACUAGGUUAUGAACUUACCUCUAUGUUGAUUUCAUCCUAUUAGCUAAGAAUCUUAAAUAACUCUCCACCUUUGAUCCUUCUUCUUAAGCUUUUCUUGAGUCACCAAGUGCAAGAGUUCUCUUAUGAUUCUCCUUUUCUCUCUAUUUCUCUCUAGCUCUCUUUAACUACU
rnacentral:lncRNA from 1 species